CUCCCCAGCCCUCUGUACUCUUCAUGCCCUGGUCACUUCCCACCCAACACAUGGGUUGAUGGCUUAAGGCCACACUGGUAGAUUUGGUAUUAAUGUUCUGCGCAGGAAAAAAUCCAACAAAAUGUAAUAAUCUGUGUCACAGAAAAAAAAAGUAGCUGCAUUUUUCCUAUCUUAUUUUUCUUUUUUGCAAGGACGGGCCAGUCAAAGACUCCACAGAGUAGAAGAGUAUGCUCAGUAGAAAGGCACAACUGUUGCCUAUGUAACGUUAAACUAUCAAGUAGAAACAACGUAUUUUGCUUGGUGAUUGUGUUCCCUCCCACUCUCACACAAGCCAAGAGCAGUCUCUUGUGUUUACAGCCAGGGAAUGGGAGACAAGCACUGGGCUAGUCUUGGCUCAGCCCAGUUUUUGUUUGUGUUGGACACAUGAUGACACUCCCCUCAUCAGAUCCAAGCAAGUCCCACUUCCUGGUAGGAUUCGUGUGAGUGGAGCUUCCAACUGCGGCCUUACCUUCGCUUUAGGAGAAGCAGCGAGAUGAGGAUUCAGCAGAGAGCAAAUUGCCGAGCUCUCAGCAGGAGCAGUGGAAUAACAUUCUACCUGCAAGUGCUCAUUCCCAUGCGAGGUGCCAAACCCCUGCAAUGGCUGCCUGGCUGCCUCUGUGCUGUUCCCAGACCUUACACAUGAUGCAUUUUCACUUGCCCGUUUCUCUGCUGAAAAAAAAUAAUAAUAAUGAAAAAAAAAUCGAGGUGUGGAGUUCAUUUAGAAUGAGGGAAAAUAUCAGUGGGAAAACAAACCCCAGCGGACACUGGAGGGAGUUGGUCAAGUUUGUAAAAUGCAUUUGAGAGCUCAGUCCCAUGUGAAAUGUGGAAAAGCUAUCAGGAGCCAUAAAGCCAGCAAGGAUGGGUUUGGUCUGGUUACAGUGCCAAAGGAUUUUGCUUCCCAAAUGAGUAUUCCUAUUCCUGAGGUGCAAUUAAAUGCAAACCAGGUCCUAAUGGGUGCUGUGUCUGCAGUGGGGUGAAGGGCUCGUCUGCAGUCCUCCCUCCUUCUGCAAGGAGCUGGAGUGGGAGAUAAGAGCAGCU